rnacentral:rRNA from 1 species
UACAGAGGGGGCAAGCGUUGUUCGGAAUUACUGGGCGUAAAGGGCGCGUAGGCGGCCUGCUAAGUCGAACGUGAAAUCCCUGGGCUCAACCCCAGGAACUGCGUCCGAUACUGGUUGGCUUGAAUCCGGGAGAGGGAUGUGGAAUUCCAGGUGUAGCGGUGAAAUGCGUAGAUAUCUGGAGGAACACCGGUGGCGAAGGCGACAUCCUGGACCGGCAUUGACGCUGAGGCGCGAAAGCCAGGGGGAGCAAACGGGG